rnacentral:rRNA from 1 species
UACAGAGGUCUCGAGCGUUAAUCGGAUUCAUUGGGCUUAAAGCGUACGUAGGCGGAUGUGCAGGCAUCGUGUGAAAUCCCCUGGCUCAACCAGGGAACUGCUCGGUGAACCGCACGUCUUGAGGCAAGUAGAGGCUGUCGGAACGAUAGGUGGAGCGGUGAAAUGCGUAGAUAUCUAUCGGAACGCCGAAGGUGAAAACAGGCAGCUGGGCUUGAUCUGACGCUGAGGUACGAAAGCGUGGGGAGCGAACGGG